GACGAACGCUGGCGGCGUGCUUAACACAUGCAAGUGGAGCGACGAACCAGGGCUUGCCCUGGGGCAGAGCCGCGAACGGGUGAGUAACACGUGGGUAACCUGCCCCGAUGACCGGGACAACCCGAGGAAACUCGGGCUAAUACCGGAUGAAUUCGCAGAGCACAAGCUUUGUGAGAAAAGGUAGCUUCGGCUUCCGCAUUGGGAUGGGCCCGCGGCCCAUUAGCUUGUUGGUGAGGUAACGGCUCACCAAGGCGACGAUGGGUAGCUGGUCUGAGAGGACGAUCAGCCACACUGGGACUGAGACACGGCCCAGACUCCUACGGGAGGCAGCAGUGGGGAAUCUUGCGCAAUGCGCGAAAGCGUGACGCAGCAACGCCGCGUGCGGGAAGACGGCCCUCGGGUUGUAAACCGCUUUCAGUUGGGACGAAGCCUGUCUGGUGAAUAGCCAGUGCAGGUGACGGUACCUUCAGAAGAAGCUCCGGCUAACUACGUGCCAGCAGCCGCCGUAAGAC
rnacentral:rRNA from 1 species